rnacentral:lncRNA from 1 species
CGGAAAUUCAUGGUUCGGUUUCGGUUCGAUUUAUCUCUUAUUCGGAAUGAUUUUUGAUUUUUAUUUUCUGCUAUUCAAUUUUUGGAUUGGAUCGAUUCGGAUCGGGUCAGUUACAACCGAACGAAUAGCCCUACUCUUUGGGAUCACUCUGGUUUUAACCAAAUCUAAUGAUAACCAGCAAUUUCGUGCAGAAGCUUGCAUUACAUCAAGACCAAGGAUUUAAGUUCCAGCGAGACGGAGACUAUCCCUACCAUUCCAUCCCAUUUCAUUUCUUUAAGAUUUCGGCAUCAGGGAUGGAUACGGGACUCCAAAAUAUUUUUUUGACCUUCGUCCUGUCCAUCCCAUCUUCAUCCCGAUUGGACCAGGCAUCGGUACGACCAUCUCGAUCAUGCCCUAAUUAUUUUUUUCAUUGCCAAAUAUCAAUGAGUCAUUUGUUGCUGGGAGAGGAGAAGAACGAAAAAAAAAGAAACACUAACCUCUUUUUCCAUUGGUGUGUCAGUGUCGGUGUUGGCAUCGGCAUCGUCAUCGGAGGGAGCAUGGCCUUUUCCAUUUGAUUUCGAUUUUUCAAGAGCCAGGUACAUCAGAAGGCAUAACAACUGGAGAAGAGGAAUGGAGGAUAGAGGAGAGAGGAAGCAAGCUUUGGAUUUUUCGACGAGGAAGGAGAGACAACCGAAGGGGGGAGGAAAAAGGGCUUGGGGCCUUCAAGCUCUAAUACAGAAGGUUCUCCUCGAUGCCUUCCUUUCGAUCAUGCCCAGUGUCAAACCCAAAUCCACAUAAACUAGGGCAAAUCUCAGAGCAUAUGCAUGGUGGAUAAC